rnacentral:rRNA from 1 species
ACUACGGGUGGCAGCAGUGAGGAAUAUUGGUCAAUGGACGGAAGUCUGAACCGGCCAUGCCGCGUGCAGGAUGACGGCUCUAUGAGUUGUAAACUGAUGUUGUACAAGGGGAAACCUGAAGAAGUGUAUUCAUCUGAAAGUACGGUACGAUUAAGGAUCGGCUAACUCCGUGCCAGCAGCCGCGGUAAUACGGAGGAUCCAAGCGUUAUCCGGAUUUAUUGGGUUUAAAGGGGGCGUAGGCGGAUUGAUAAGUUAGCGGUGAAAUGUCCGAGCUUAACUCGGGAACUGCCUCGAAUACUGUUGAUCUAGAGAGUAGAUGCGGUAGGCGGAAUGUAUGGUGUAGCGGUGAAAUGCUUAGAGAUCAUACAGAACACCGAGUGCGAAGGCAGCUUACCAAUCUAUAUCUGACGUUGAGGCACGAAAGCGUGGGGAGCAAACAGGAUUAGAUACCCUUGUAGAC